rnacentral:lncRNA from 1 species
UAAGUUGUUAACUGCAAAUUGCUUCUGGGCCUCAGGACCAGCAAAGGGAUAAAGGUGUCAUUUUUCUUUAUAGAGGGGCUAAUAGAAGUUUGGGGGGGGAGGCAAAAGCCCCCAGGUGCUGGAAGUAGGAACGGGCAUGAUGGGAGUUUGUGUCCAUUGGUUUGGGGGUCAGGGUUCAGAGUGGGGGCAUUUGCUCUCCCUGGAAGACCCUGUGAGAGGUCCCCAGUUGGGAAGGCAUAGGAGGACACUUCAGUCAGGCUGUUUUUCCAAACCUCCUUUACUUCUUAGAAGCUGGUUUUUUUGGAGAGAAUCUGCUUAUGAGUGCCUCUCCCUGCUAUAUUCUACGUUCCUCUCUAACCUUUUUUCACCAUCCUCACCUAACGGGUCCUCUCCAUGCCUUCUGGGGUGGAAAUGGAACAACAGCCCAGCUGUGCAGGGUUGCUACAAUGCACUGAUCCCUGGAGUCCCUCAUGGCCAUUUCCCCAAAGGGUGGCCCUCCCCGCCAUUCCUGCUCUCUCCACCUCACACGCACCCCCUCCCUGUGUGGUAGGAGGAGAGAUAUAUCUCCCCAGACAUGGACAAUCAUGGGGGUAGGGUGAAUCAAGUCAGUAGGUUCCCAUCUAGCAGGGACAGGGAGAGCAACAGCAAGGGUUCCUAGGCCUCACGGCUGCAUGGCAGGGCCCCCUGGUGGGGAUACAGACACCAUCGCAGCCCAGCUCCAAGCCACCCUAGAGAACCUAACUGUUCCCCCACCCCAACCAGCCCUGGUGCCUUGACACCCCCACCCCAGCUGGGACAGGACCCACUGUAUAGAGAAGGUUCUUGGUUUCCUCCCCCUACUCUCCUUUCCCUGGGCUCAUGAGUUCCUUCCCUCUUACAAUUUUGUGGGAGGCAGUUUCUGGAUUUUGAUUUCUCUUGGUUCCCUUGCCUUCUUUCCCUUUUUUUCUGUCUCUGCCUCUCUUUCCCUCUGUCUGUCUUUCUCCUCUGUGUCUCUCCCAUCUGUUUUGUCUUCCUCUUACCCUUCUUUUCACCCUUGCUUUCUCUCUGUCCGUUUGGGCUUCCCUCCUCCUGUCCUCCCACCACCCACCUGCCCCACCUUGGUCUCCUCCUUUUCGAUAUGCCAAACCAAUUUUGGGUCGAGUGCAUUUAACGAGAACAAAACAAAAGACUCAUAAAGACAACGAGUACGUUUCAAAAAAAAUAAAAACUUCCAAAAAAAAAGAAACCA